UAUAUUUACACUCCUUGUCUUUUAUUUCUGAUAUCAACUCAAAAUGAACUGAAUUUGGGAUCCAAAUUGCAACCCCCUUUUCUACCUGUUUUAUAAGAAGAGAAAACAAGUUUCUCGUGUUCAGGACGGGAUAUGUGAGUUUCCUUCCAGAAUAACAUGUCAGCUCUCUUUUCAUCUUUGAUAUUACCUUCUCUUUAUGGCACUCCCCAGUCUGUUCACACUGACCUUAAAUUCCCAAUGAUGCAUCAAUAUAGACCAAAAGAAAGUGGACCAUAAGUCUGCUUAACAUGAACCUCAAAAAUAAUGAAAAAACAAGAACAAUAAAAAGAGUUAACCAAAAGGGAAACGACUUUACUAUAAGGACUCCUAUGUCAGAGGACUCCUGCCUCUGGGGUUUGAGGGGAUGAGCCUGACCGCUGGAUGGGCCCCUCGCUCAAGUAUCAAAAUGUGUGACGCAUUGACAAAAUGCAAAACACCUGCACAGCAAAUAAGGACGAGUCAUUACAGCAGAGUUACUAUUAUUAUUUUUCUCGAAACGUGCAUCUUUUAAACGUUUUUGGAAUUAAGUGACUGAUUGUGACCACGAGGGAAAACACAGAGUUAAUUCAAAUAGAGUGUUUAUAAUUAAGUAUUGCUAGAGUCAAUGUGAUCCUGCCCACAGAUUAGCAGUUACAUUUAGAUUUUGCCGCCAUUGAUAUUUUCUUCCUCGCAUUCGCCUCAGGUAAGUAAUAUGGAUUUGAAAAAUAGAAUUAUAGGUUCAUGAUUUCUUAAAAUAUUUAUUUGGCCUGACAUUUAAAUCAUGCUAAAUAGGGUUAGUGUAUGACUAACAGUCAAAUGUAAAGACACAGAUAUGCAAUUUGGUUGUAUUAUCCCAGUAGCAUUGUUGAGAACAUAGCAUUCAUUUAUUAAUCUAAUAGGCAGAUUCUGUUGACUCUUCUGCAAAAUGCUCCAUGGAUGUUUGUGGUUCGUCAGACUGACACUCUUACCCUGACAAAGUCCUAACAGAAAAAGGAGAGCAGAGGAAGACGGUGCAGCCAAAGUAAGUCUUUCAUUAUUUGCUAUGAUUGUCUUUUAAUAAUUAAAAACUGUAUUGAUCUUCCUGAGGUUCCAUCUUUGAUUUUGGGUAGGCCUAUUCCAACAGAGUUACUUAGUAUGUGGGCUUUUUCCAGUCCUGCUCUUAUCGGCCUAAAUUAUUUUAGAAGAUCCUAAUGUGCAGCUUAGUGAUAUAGCCAGGUGUUGGAGUAGGACUGAAACCAAUGUUUCACAGUAGCUCUCCAAUAGGAUGGCUGGCUACCACAGAGCUCUUUCUCAAUUUUUCUACCCUUGGCUCCUUGUGUCCUCUUCUCAUCCUUCUCAAAACUAACUACAGAAGAACGAAUUAGGAGAGGAACAUUGGGUCUUAUUAUCAAAUGGGAUUUUAGGAAGCGAGGAAUCAAUAAACUAUUGUGAUAAAGAACCCUGGUGUACUAGGGUCUGUGUCUGUUGUGUUUUUUGUUAGAUGAUUGAGGACAUUCUCCAGAGCAAAGCUGGAGGGGAAAGGAUCAUGAACGAGUAUGCUCAGACAAAAAGCUUGAAUUACAGCAUCAGACGUAAUAUGAUCAAGAUAUUGGUUGCAAAUAUGACAGAGGAUCAUGGAACAAGUCUCCAACGACAUGGGAAGGAAGAGGCAUAUGCAACAGGAAUAGUUUCCUUGUUCCCCUAUCUGGCUGACCGCAAAAGCAAGACAGACUGCCCACCAUUAGAAUGCAGAAGACUGGAGUGGCUACUUGAUGGAGCAAGAUUUUGGACUGAUGUUUGGUGAUGCUACUUCCACAAAAUUCCUGAAGAAAUGGCCUACUGUCUUCAAACAGAAGGUCGUCCUGCAGAGCCAUGGACUCCCACCAAAAACUGAGCUUCGGGACCUGAUACACAAUGCUGAGUUUGCAGCUGAGGUGGAUAAUGGCAGGGACCAGCAUACUCUUGAUGCCAUCACCGGAAGUCAACAGCCCUAUCUGUUUGCCGUGGGGACCCAGAGAACGAGCAUUCACGCCUACUUAAUUGUGAUUGACAAACAUGCUGUACCUUGUAAGGCAUCUGGCUCACUGGGCUGUUUUAAUGAGCUUUUCAAAGCUUUGUACCUUAUACAGUCAGGGUCUGGCAAACAUGUACACUUUUCGGCAAACAACAAUCUACGAAAUUGACGUUGAUACAACUAAAGUGAAUCCCAGGGUAGCAGAGCUGAGGGCCAGAAUGUCGCAUUUAACAGAUCUAUUUGAGACAAUUUUUUUGUUUUGUUUGCAAAUGCGAAUAGCCUUGUAAAACAUCUGAAGUUAUUCUGCGGUCUUUGUUCAGGGAAAUUUCUGCAUUCAAAGUGUGGUCAGUUUGGUUGUUCACAUGUAUUUGCCACUUUUCCUAGAUUUCUAAAGCAUCUUAACAAGGCACAUGAAGAGUGUAACAGAAGUUUCUCAUAAUGAUGGUGGAGGCCCCUCUACCGCUACUAACAGUUUUGCAACAAAGACUUCAGUCAGUUCCAUGGAAGAGAUAGACAGUCUAUAGGGAGGAGGUCAGAAACCUGGCAGUGUGGUGCCAGGACAACACCCUCUCCCUCAGUGUGAUCAAAACAAAGGAGAUGAUUGUGGACUACAGGAAAAGGAGGACCGAG